rnacentral:rRNA from 1 species
UACGGAGGGGGCUAGCGUUGUUCGGAAUUACUGGGCGUAAAGCGCACGUAGGCGGUUUUUUAAGUCAGAUGUGAAAGCCCCGGGCUCAACCUGGGAAUUGCAUUUGAAACUGGCCAACUAGAGUACGUGAGAGGGGGGUAGAAUUCCAAGUGUAGCGGUGAAAUGCGUAGAGAUUUGGAGGAAUACCAGUGGCGAAGGCGGCCCCCUGGCACGAUACUGACGCUCAGGUGCGAAAGCGUGGGGAGCAAACAGG